rnacentral:rRNA from 1 species
GAUGAACGCUGGCGGCGUGCCUAAUACAUGCAAGUCGAGCGAACAGACGAGGAGCUUGCUCCUCUGACGUUAGCGGCGGACGGGUGAGUAACACGUGGAUAACCUACCUAUAAGACUGGGAUAACUUCGGGAAACCGGAGCUAAUACCGGAUAAUAUAUUGAACCGCAUGGUUCAAUAGUGAAAGACGGUUUUGCUGUCACAUAUAGAUGGAUCCGCGCCGCAUUAGCUAGUUGGUAAGGUAACGGCUUACCAAGGCAACGAUGCGUAGCCGACCUGAGAGGGUGAUCGGCCACACUGGAAAUGAGACACGGUCCAGACUCCUACGGGAGGCAGCAGUAGGGAAUCUUCCGCAAUGGGCGAAAGCCUGACGGAGCAACGCCGCGUGAGUGAUGAAGGUCUUCGGAUCGUAAAACUCUGUUAUUAGGGAAGAACAAAUGUGUAAGUAACUAUGCACGUCUUGACGGUACCUAAUCAGAAAGCCACGGCUAACUACGUG